GCCGCGGUAAUUCCAGCUCUGAAGGUGUAUACCACCGUUGUUGCGGUUAAAACGCUCGUAGUUGGAUCUACGUUCGUGGGGUCGGUGUUCUCGUUUGAGUUCUACUGACUACCUGAACUGAAACAGCUGGUUUUCCCUUGGUGCUCUUUAUUGGGUGCCCUGGGUGGCUAGCAAGUUUACUUUGAAAAAAUUAGAGUGCUCAAAACAGGCGCAUGCCUGAAUAGUGGUGCAUGGAAUAUUGGAAUAGGAUCUUGGUCCUAUUUUGUUGGUUUUCGGGAGCCAAGAUAAUGAUUAAGAGGGACAGACGGGGGCAUUCGUAUUGCAGCGUUAGAGGUGAAAUUCUUGGAUCGUUGCAAGACGAACAACUGCGAAAGCAUUUGCCAAGAAUGUUUUCAUUAAUCAAGAACGAAAGUUAGAGGUUCGAAGGCGAUCAGAUACCGCCCUAGUUCUAACCGUAAACGAUGCCAACUCGCGAUCUAGUGGUGUUAUUUAUGACCCGCUAGGGAGCGUCCCGAAAACGAAAGUUUUUCGGUUCCGGGGGAAGUAUGGUUGCAAAUCUGAAACUUAAAGGAAUUGACGGAAGGGCACCACCAGGAGUGGAGCCUGCGGCUUAAUUUGACCCAACACGGGAAAACUCACCCGGCCCGGACACCGUAAGGAUUGACAGAUUGAGAGCUCUUUCUUGAUUCGGUGGGUGGUGGUGCAUGGCCGUUCUUAGUUGGUGGAGCGAUUUGUCUGGUUAAUUCCGAUAACGAACGAGACUCUAUCCUACUAAAUAGCAAGCGGAUCAGCCCAGUCCGCAGUGCUUCUUAGAGGGACAAGCAGCUUUUAGCUGCACGAAAGUGAGCAAUAACAGGUCUGUGAUGCCCUUAGAUGUCCGGGGCUGCACGCGCGCUACACUGAAAGGAUCAGCGUGCAAGAUACCUUCCCCGAGAGGGGUGGGUAACCCAAUCAAAACCUUUCGUGGUUGGGAUAGGAGAUUGCAAUUAUUCUCCUUGAACGAGGAAUUCCCAGUAAGUGUGGGUCAUCAGCUCGCGCUGAUUACGUCCCUGCCCUUUGUACACACCGCCCGUCGCUGCCCGGAACUGAGCCGUUUCGAGAAGAACAGGGACUGCUGUUAGGUGGCCUUCGGGUUGCCUCUUGGCGGAAACUGUUUU
rnacentral:rRNA from 1 species